UGGGUAAGGCCAUCUGGGAGAAAAUGCAAGUGAGAGUUUGGCAUGGAGUUGGCAAGCAACCACACAAAAAAUUUUAGUUCUAACAUGUAAAGACCUUGAAAGUUGUCACUCCUGCCUUUACAACAAGAAAAAGCUGAACAAACUGAAAAUGAGCAUGGUUUCUUGGACCCAUCAGAGAAUUGAGGUUGCAGAACAAAUCACCACCCUGAAAUGUGGAAAGACCAGCAAAUCUAGUCAUAGCUGAGAUCCACUCACUUGGCAGGAAGAACUACUGGAAUCAUAGACUGACACCAAACCACAGAAUCAGAAGUCCGGAGAACAACAAGUGGGAUAAAUAACAAGUGACUACACUUAUACAUAUUAUAUUCAAACUGCAGACAGAGAAGAGAGAAACUAUAGAGGAACAAGGAUAAGAAUUAAAACAGACUUCUCAUCAGAAACUGUGCAAGAAAAGAGUGAAGUCCUUAAAGUGAUGAAAGAAAAAAAAACUCUACCAACCUAGAUU